GAUGAACGCUGGCGGCGUGCCUAAUACAUGCAAGUCGAGCGAACAGACGAGGAGCUUGCUCCUCUGACGUUAGCGGCGGACGGGUGAGUAACACGUGGAUAACCUACCUAUAAGACUGGGAUAACUUCGGGAAACCGGAGCUAAUACCGGAUAAUAUAUUGAACCGCAUGGUUCAAUAGUGAAAGACGGUUUUGCUGUCACUUAUAGAUGGAUCCGCGCCGCAUUAGCUAGUUGGUAAGGUAACGGCUUACCAAGGCGACGAUGCGUAGCCGACCUGAGAGGGUGAUCGGCCACACUGGAACUGAGACACGGUCCAGACUCCUACGGGAGGCAGCAGUAGGGAAUCUUCCGCGAUGGGCGAAAGCCUGACGGAGCAACGCCGGGUGAGUGAUGAAGGUCUUCGGAUCGUAAAACUCUGUUAUUAGGGAAGAACAAAUGUGUAAGUAACUAUGCACGUCUUGACGGUACCUAAUCAGAAAGCCACGGCUAACUACGUG
rnacentral:rRNA from 1 species